UACGUAGGGUGCAAGCGUUGUCCGGAAUUAUUGGGCGUAAAGCGCGUGUAGGCGGCUCGAUAAGUCCGGUGUGAAACCUUGGGGCUCAACCCCAAGCCUGCACUGGAUACUGCCGAGCUAGAGUCCGGGAGGGGAGAGCGGAAUUCCUAGUGUAGCGGUGAAAUGCGCAGAUAUUAGGAAGAACACCGGUGGCGAAGGCGGCUCUCUGGGCCUGUACUGACGCUGAGGAACGAAAGCGUGGGGAGCGAACAGG
rnacentral:rRNA from 1 species